rnacentral:miRNA from 1 species
UUUUUCCUAAAGCGUGCCCGGGUUA